CUUUAUGAAGAGAUUUGGCAAGAUUCCUCUCGGCAUAUCCAUUGGCGGAUUCUUCUACAUAAAACGGGAUUUUCCGAUAAGAGUAAUCAGUUCUCUUUAUUCGAUAUUUUCUUCGUGUAUUGAAGUGAGCGGAAUUUUGAA